AAGGGAGACCUAAUUCAGGUAGGAGACGAAAAAAAAGUAGUCCCUACCAGGAAUCAAUCCCAAAAGGUCGGAGCGAGGCGAAAUUGGCUUUCAAACUAGGUUCUGGGUUCAAACAAGACCUGAAUCGGGAACAAGGGCUAUUAGCUCAGGUGGUUAGAGCGCACCCCUGAUAAGGGUGAGGUCCCUGGUUCGAGUCCAGGAUGGCCCACCUGCACAGGUGGCAAAAACAAGAGAAGCGAGGAAUCAGCACCUUAUCUUACUGACAUAGUAAGAGAGGAUGCUGGCUCUGAGUAAAGAGUCCAGAGGAACCUUGAAAACUGCAUAGAGCUAGGUGAAAAAGCCAAAAAAGAAGACCGCAA
rnacentral:tRNA from 1 species